rnacentral:tRNA from 1 species
UCCCUGGUAGCUCAGUUGGUUAGAGCGGCGGACUGUUAAUCCGUAGGUCGUAGGUUCGAGUCCUACUCGGGGAG